UGCAAAGUAUCAAACAGUAUUUGGCUCAGA
rnacentral:piRNA from 1 species